rnacentral:piRNA from 1 species
UGACCAGAAGGCUCACAGGAAAAUGGU